CCAAAGCUGGCGACCGGCGCACGGGUGAGUAACACGUAUCCAACCUGCCUCAUACUCGGGGAUAGCCUUUCGAAAGAAAGAUUAAUAUCCGAUAGCAUAUAUUUCCCGCAUGAGUUUUAUAUUAAAGAAAUUCGGUAUGAGAUGGGGAUGCGUUCCAUUAGUUUGUUGGGGGGGUAACGGCCCACCAAGACUACGAUGGAUAGGGGUUCUGAGAGGAAGGUCCCCCACAUUGGAACUGAGACACGGUCCAA
rnacentral:rRNA from 1 species